UUUCGUCUUCUCCCUUUAUAUACUCUUUCGUCUCCCCCUUUAUAUACUCUUUCCUCUUCUCUUCUUCCCCUUUUUGUCAUCAUCAAAAACAUAUAUAUGGGAAAAGAUGCAAUAACGAACAAACUUCAAACUUCAUUGAUCAAAAUAGGAACAUUUUCAUAUAUUAAUGCUCAAAACGAUGAAAAGUACAAUGUUCCACAAUCAAGAUUUAAAGAUA
rnacentral:lncRNA from 1 species